AACGAACGCUGGCGGCAUGCCUAACACAUGCAAGUCGAACGAGACCUUCGGGUCUAGUGGCGCACGGGUGCGUAACGCGUGGGAACCUGCCUUUAGGUUCGGAAUAACUCAGAGAAAUUUGAGCUAAUACCGGAUGAUGUCUUCGGACCAAAGAUUUAUCGCCUUUAGAUGGGCCCGCGUUGGAUUAGCUAGUUGGCGGGGUAAAGGCCUACCAAGGCGACGAUCCAUAGCUGGUCUGAGAGGAUGAUCAGCCACACUGGGACUGAGACACGGCCCAGACUCCUACGGGAGGCAGCAGUGGGGAAUAUUGGACAAUGGGCGAAAGCCUGAUCCAGCAAUGCCGCGUGAGUGAUGAAGGCCUUAGGGUUGUAAAGCUCUUUUACCCGAGAUGAUAAUGACAGUAUCGGGAGAAUAAGCUCCGGCUAACUCCGUG
rnacentral:rRNA from 1 species